rnacentral:rRNA from 1 species
AUGGCUCAGAUUGAACGCUGGCGGCAGGCCUAACACAUGCAAGUCGAGCGGAUGACAGGAGCUUGCUCCUGAAUUCAGCGGCGGACGGGUGAGUAAUGCCUAGGAAUCUGCCUGGUAUGGGGGACAACGUUUCGAAAGGAACGCUAAUACCGCAUACGUCCUACGGGAGAAAGCAGGGGGACCUUCGGGCCUUGCGCUAUCAGAUGAGCCUAGGUCGGAUUAGCUAGUUGGUGAGGUAAUGGCUCACCAAGGCGACGAUCCGUAACUGGUCUGAGAGGAUGAUCAGUCACACUGGAACUGAGACACGGUCCAGACUCCUACGGGAGGCAGCAGUGGGGGAACAUUGGACAAUGGGCGAAAGCCUGAUCCAGCCAUGCCGCGUGUGUGAAGAAGGUCUUCGGAUUGUAAAGCACUUUAAGUUGGGAGGAAGGGCAUUAACCUAAUACGUUAGUGUUUUGACGUUACCGACAGAAUAAGCACCGGCUAACUCUGUG